rnacentral:lncRNA from 1 species
AAUAUCUGUAAUCUGUAUUUUAAAAUCAAUCUUUGGUUUGUCUAAUUCGUUCUCUCCUCUAUCCAUCAAUACUUAAUUCGGCUAUAGCCGUUUUGAAAAUCAAAUUUCGAUUUUAGGGUUCCAGAUCACCUCUAUUUUCUGUAGAUCUGUUCAAUUCCGAGUUCUUUCUCCCUUGAUUUCUCUUGUUUUUGAAAGAAAAAUUGGGUUGAUCUUCUCCCGAUAUAAAGAAAAAUUGGGUUGUCCCUAUUGCUGUAUAGAUUAGAAUUCUUGCUUCUCGCCGGAAAUUUUUCCGGCAACUC